AUGAGCACUGGCAAAGGGCUCAUGCGCAUAGUGCUCAAUCAAAGUGAAGCGAUGAAGACGGUGCUCGGACGGCCGUGCGUCUUGGAGCCAUCCACUGAGUUUGAUCAGGUCGAAGCACAAGGCCACAAGCGCUACAUCACCCCUCUGGACGCACAAUCGUUUUCUACGCGCCUUUUCUCCAACCGUGAGAUUUGGUUCGGCCCGAACGGGGACUGGCUGGCCUAUCUGCAAGAGAAUGGAGGCAUCCAAUUGCACAACGUAUACACAGGAGAUACGGUCCAGGCGCCACCUUUUGAAGCCAUAGGCCUUGUCAACGCGGGGACACAUGUCAUACGGAAUUUCAACUACGAUCUCACAAUGGCUACAUUGAAGAAGAUAGCCAUUGCGCAUCCACCCGCCAGGUGGGACGGCUUCAAUUGCUAUUUUCUCAUUGCCGUAUUUGACAACAUGAUUGCCAUCACCGGCUCUGAGGCUAGCUCCAACGCAAAAUCCUGGUAUAUGCUGGCCCUACCACAUCUUUCUUCUCGUUGCUACCAAGAUGCUGUCAACCAUGCCGGGUGGAUCUUCGCGUUUACAGACGAUGGAACUUGUUCCAUGUGGGAUCCUCGCGCAGGCGGUUCCAUGCAGCCUCCUCGCGAAAUUCAAUCACCACAUCUCAACCAGGACAUACCCUACCAGAAUUAA
rnacentral:rRNA from 1 species